GGGGUUUUCAGCCCAACUUUCACUGCUGGAUGCUUCAGAACCUUCCCCUGCUGUGACAUUCCCACCUGUGGGAAUCCCUCAGAGCUGAUCCUGGCUUGCUGAGCUCAGUUUUGGGGUGAAUUUGAAGAGUUUUGAUCCCAAAUCCCUUCCCAGGAUGGUUCUGAUCCCACUGCUGGUUUUUUUUUUCAGAGGUUCACGCCACAGGGUUCAACUACCAGAACGAGGAUGAAAAGGUCACUCUGUCCUUCCCCAGCACCCUGCAGAAAGGGACGGGGACGCUGAAGAUUGACUUUGUGGGGGAGCUGAACGACAAGAUGAAAGGGUUUUACCGCAGCAAGUACAGCACGGCCGGCGGGGACACGCGCUACGCCGCCGUCACCCAGUUCGAGGCUACUGAUGCUCGCAGAGCUUUCCCUUGCUGGGAUGAGCCUGCAAUUAAAGCAACUUUUGAUAUUUCUUUGGUGGUUCCCAAAGACAGAGUAGCUUUGUCA